UCUCUGAUAGUAUAUCGGUUAGUACACGCGCCUGUCAUUCAUACUUCUUCGGCCGUCGCGCGAAAGCUGGGUUCGACUCCCAGUCAGAGAG